AUGUAUUGUCCCUUCUGUGGUGUCGGAUUGGAUAACUCGCCAAAAUUUUGCUGUUCCUGUGGCCGAGAUAUCGGCUUUAUAAACGAGGCAGCUUCUACAGUAUCUAGGACUGCAGGGACUGAUGCAUGUUCCAUCCCAGCAAAGUCAGCUGUGCAUCAGUUCAUGAGAUACAGAGAACUAAAAGAAACUGAGAGGAAGACAUUUUCAAAACCCAAAAAGAAAUCAAUGAAAACAGUCAAGAUUUCUGUUGGGAUGAUGCGCAAGACCAAGCAUGGCUUUAAGCCCAUAAGAGGGAAAACUCUACCUCUACAAGUUGAACCUCAGUGGUCAUCAGAGAAACUUUUGGCAGCUGCCUGGAAAAAAUUAAAAGAUUUCAACCAAGACAUGAAAGAU